UAUGGCAUGCUUUGUUUCAGUUUAGUUAGAACACUAGCGCGUGUACUCCAGGAGCCCAACCAAAUACGUACUCAAGCACACACACAACCAGCUUGAUUGAUUUCUUUUCUUUAUAUACUAGCAGCAGUAUGUGUAUGUGCAUGUCUCCUUUUCUUCCUUCUCUUGAUGGAUUGAUUGAUCCCCUUACAUGUUUCUUCGAUUUGGAGCAGCGGGAACCCUCCAUGGAUGAGGACGACCACCGGGACCUCCACAGCGACGUUGACGCCCCGCACAUGGUUGAGCUGGACGGAAAAACGGUGCCUUAGUCGCUCGUCGUGAUCGCGGUCGUCUGCGCUGGUGUGGUGCAGCCGAACUGGCUCAGCAACCACGUCGUGUACAAGGGCCAACUCCACUACGGCUCCUCAGCAAGAAGAAGUGCCAUCACUGGUAUGAAACUCAUGCCAGGGGAAGGGAUUCCAUCACUGCCUUUUGAUCCGCAAGUGUAAUCUCCAUUGAGGAUCGUCCCUGUUCGGCAUUCAUCAACACAAUGCCAUCUUCAGUGCCCCUCUCUAGGCCCUCACUCUGAAUUCUUUCGAUUUUAAGCAAGGGAACAAUCUAUAUGCAUCUAAACAUUUUUUUCCAAGUUAUUGCUGCUCUGCUAUGACAAUGUUUCUAGCUCUUGUUCAUAGUGUUCGAGUUUACGUAGUCUCGAUGUUCACUGAAUAAUAUGAAAGGAAUCGUUGAUGCUAUAUAUAUAGCAAAAUUUCUACGCACUUGCAUCAGUUUGUAGAUAUUUCCAGUUAAAAGAUUGUGCUCUGCUCUGGUCUGAGCUAGGCAUUCUAUUUUUCUGUAAAAAAAAUUGCGCUCUGUUUGUCAACCAUUGCUUAUUUAUUUUUUGUUUGUUUUGGAUGCAGUAGGUGCCCUCCUUCCAUGGACGAGGAGGACAUUGACCUGGACCUUGACGGCGACGUCGUCCAGCCCACACAAGAUCUCUAUGCUGCUGUUGGUGGUGGCUGGUGAGGCGAUGCUGGAAAGCAUGGAGGCGUCGUCGGUGAAUAAGAGAAAAGGAAGAGGACACACCGUACAGCUGCCCACUGCUGCUCACCUUGAUGGCUUGACCACCUCUGAUGCGCCGCCGAUGACACAUGGGGAGGCCGAGGUGAACAGGCUUGCGUGGGUAGAGGACCAGCGAUGCGGUCGACGGUGCUCACCCCGACCCCCCCUUGGGAUCUAGGGGGAGGGGCUAUGGCGGCGGCGGCACCGGGAGAGGCGGCGGCGCUCGGAGAGGAGGCACAUACUUUAUUUCUACUUCUACUUUUCUUUUGCACAUGUAGUUUGGAUGCUUUAUCUGCUCAUGGAGCUAUGCUUCUGUUGCAUUGGGCUAAGGUUUGAUUGCUUGAAUGUGUAUGUCAAGGUGUGAGUGCAGACUCAUUGUUGAUGUUGAAUACUGGAGCAAGAAUGAUGAUCAAUGCUCUAAUGAACCUGCAUGAUGUAGCACUACUAUUAAGAUAUAGGGUUAGGCACAUACAUUUUUUGACAAUGGGUACUUUUUUUGGUAAUGG